GAAAUGCGAUACGUAGUGUGAAUUGCAGAAUUUGUGAAUCAUCGAAUCUUUGAACGCACCUUGCACUCAAUUUCGGUUGAGUAUGCCUGUUUGAGAAUUAUUAGACUUCUUUACUCUUUAUGGGUGAGAUUUGAGCUCUUUUACCUAGUAAAUGGCUUUAAAUUUAUUGCUUGGUUAUCAACGUCAUAUUGUGACUCACCAAAGUGUAUGAAGGGUUCGCCCACUUCCUUUAGUGUUAGCAGUAGUUGAUUUGCUAUGCCCACCUGCAGUUUCGGCUGCAACUAAGUUAUGCAAAUAACUUGAACUUUAGUCUCAAAUCAGGUAGGAAGACCCGCUGAACUUAA
rnacentral:misc_RNA from 1 species